GGGCCCGCACAAGCGGUGGAGCAUGUGGUUUAAUUCGAAGCAACGCGAAAAACCUUACCAGGUCUUGACAUCCUGUUGACCGGUUCUGUAAUUGAACCUUUUCUUCGGAACAACAGUGACAGGUGGUGCAUGGUCGUCGUCAGCUCGUGUCGUGAGAUGUUGGGUUAAGUCCCGCAACGAGCGCAACCCUUAUUAUUAGUUGCCAGCAUUAAGUUGGGCACUCUAAUGAGACUGCCGGUGAUAAACCGGAGGAAGGUGGGGACGACGUCAGAUCAUCAUGCCCCUUAUGACCUGGGCUACACACGUGCUACAAUGGGAAGUACAACGAGUUGCCAACCAGCGAUGGUGAGCUAAUCUCUUAAAGCUUCUCUCAGUUCGGACUGCAGUCUGCAACUCGACUGCACGAAGUCGGAAUCGCUAGUAAUCGCGAAUCGAGCAUGUCG
rnacentral:rRNA from 1 species